GAUGAACGCUGGCGGCGUGCCUAAUACAUGCAAGUCGAGCGAACAGACGAGGAGCUUGCUCCUCUGACGUUAGCGGCGGACGGGUGAGUAACACGUGGAUAACCUACCUAUAAGACUGGGAUAACUUCGGGAAACCGGAGCUAAUACCGGAUAAUAUAUUGAACCGCAUGGUUCAAUAGUGAAAGACGGUUUUGCUGUCACUUAUCGAUGGAUCCGCGCCGCAUUAGCUAGUUGUUAAGGUAACGGCUUACCAAGGCAACGAUGCGUAGCCGACCUGAGAGGGUGAUCGGCCACACUGGAACUGAGACACGGUCCAGACUCCUACGGGAGGCAGCAGUAGGGAAUCUUCCGCAAUGGGCGAAAGCCUGACGGAGCAACGCCGCGUGAGUGAUGAAGGUCUUCGGAUCGUAAAACUCUGUUAUUAGGGAAGAACAAAUGUGUAAGUAACUAUGCACGUCUUGACGGUACCUAAUCAGAAAGCCACGGCUAACUACGUG
rnacentral:rRNA from 1 species